rnacentral:rRNA from 1 species
UACAGAGGGUGCAAGCGUUGCUCGGAAUCACUGGGCGUAAAGGGUGCGUAGGCGGGUCUUUUAAGUCAGGGGUGAAAUCCUGGAGCUCAACUCCAGAACUGCCUUGAUACUGAAGAUCUUGAGUUCGGGAGAGGUGAGUGGAACUGCGAGUGUAGAGGUGAAAUUCGUAGAUAUUCGCAAGAACACCAGUGGCGAAGGCGGCUCACUGGCCCGAUACUGACGCUGAGGCACGGAAAGCGUGGGGAGCGAACGAGG